AAGGAUCAUUAAUGAAAUGAAUGUCGAGAAGGGUUGUAGCUGGCCUUUUGGGGCAUGUGCACACCUUGAUCGCACAUCCACCUCUCACACCUGUGCACUAUGUGUAGCUUGGGAUGAUUACGAUAUUGGAAACGAUAUUGAAAGCCCUAGCUAUGAAUUUUUAUACACCCAUAUACAAAGUUAUAGAAUGGAUAAUGUUAUAGCGUGUAACAGCGCGAAUAUAUACAACUUUCAGCAACGGAUCUCUUGGCUCUCGCAUCGAUGAAGAACGCAGCGAAAUGCGAUAAGUAAUGUGAAUUGCAGAAUUCAGUGAAUCAUCGAAUCUUUGAACGCACCUUGCGCCCCUUGGUAUUCCGAGGAGCAUGCCUGUUUGAGUGUCAUGAAAUUCUCAACUGCCCUUUUAUGUUAAGGGGUGAAGUUGAAGUUGGAGGAUAAUUGCUGGCGCAACUUAGGUUGCUUGUUGGCUCCUCUUGAAUGAAUGAGCUUUUCUGAUAGAUUAUGGCUCAGUAACACUAAUGUGAUAAUUAUCUACAUUAGGUGUGAAAGCUGUGAGUAGAGUGACUUCAAUUAUGGAGAAGCUCCUACAGAAAAGUGUGUGUCUUGGAGAUAUCACAAAUCCUUGACCUUGAAAUAUAAUGACAAAUCUGACCUCAAAUCAGGUAGGACUACCCGCUGAACUUAA
rnacentral:rRNA from 1 species